rnacentral:rRNA from 1 species
GCUAAAACUCAANGAAUUGACGGGGCCCGCANAGCGGUGAGCAUGUGGUUUAAUUCGACGCAACGCGCAGAACCUUACCCAGACUUGACAUCCGCGGAAUCCUGCAGAGAUGUGGGAGUGCCCGCAAGGGAGCCGCGAGACAGGUGCUGCAUGGCUGUCGUCAGCUCGUGUCGUGAGAUGUUGGGUUAAGUCCCGCAACGAGCGCAACCCUCGCCUUCAGUUGCCACCAUUCAGUUGGGCACUCUGGAGGGACUGCCGGUGUCAAGCCGGAGGAAGGUGGGGAUGACGUCAAGUCCUCAUGGCCUUUAUGUCUGGGGCUACACACGUGCUACAAUGGCCGGUACAAAGGGUCGCGAAAGCGUGAGCUGAAGCCAAUCCCGGAAAACCGGUCCCAGUUCGGAUUGAAGUCUGCAACUCGACUUCAUGAAGUCGGAAUCGCUAGUAAUCGCGGAACAGAACGCCGCGGUGAAUACGUUCCCGGGCCUUGUACACACCGCCCGUCACACCAUGGGAGUCAACUGCUCCAGAAGUGGGUGUCCUAACCGCAAGGAGGGAGCCCCCCAAGGAGUGGUUGGUAACUGGGGUGAAGUCGUAACAAGGUAACCGUAAAGACUGGAGAUCUG